UGUUGUUGUUGUUGUAGAUUUCAUUAUGCGCUUUGGUUGGAGGAAAAAUGCGCUUUCGUGACUUUUUAUGGGGUGUCUGCGCUUUGGAACCACCCCCUCGCGCUUUAGUAUCGCAACACUGCGCUUUAGUACCGCGUUGCGCUUUCGCACCCACCCUCAGAUUUGAUGUGUUGCGACCUGCACUUCAGUAUCGUUUUGUCGAGGUUCCAGCUACUAUUUUCAGCGAGCCAAUCACAAGCCGAGAAAUUGUUGCAGCGCUGUUCCUGCCACGCGGUGGCCGCCAUUACGCCUUCUUCAUGCAUAUCUUCAGCAGUAAAAACUAUGGUUACUGGGACAAACAGCUUGACUGAUUUGUUGACCAAGACUGUUUGUAGUUUGGGCUUUGUUCAACCAUAAACAAAGGAUGGCUGAACAACUAUGUCCCCUGGAUCUUUCAACUAAACCUCUUUCAGGUUUAGCCAUGAAGCUGCCUAAAAGUGCACCUUAUAACAUGCCGAAGACUGUUAUAAAGGUAUCAAUGAAGUCAAGAUCCCAUUCCUGCGAGCCACACAGUGACAAAAUAAAUGACCACAGGACAUAUCUCCCAAGCCAGCAUGUGGAGGUGGAGGUAAAUGUUGAAGAGCUAGCUCCACCUGAGGCCUCUGCUGCUACCCUUGAAACAGUCUAUCAACCUGAAGAAACUUUUCUCCCAAUUGAAGACCCGAAGCCCCAGGAGAUUAUUCUAAAUGUUGAGAACUCGGCAGAGGUCUUGCCUUGUGAUGGAUUAGUAGAUGUA